UAGCAGUUAAGUCCCAUAACAUUUCACACACACACAACAACACCUGUCGGCAGCUGAGGUUUUCAGUUAGUCAUCAAUUAACUACUAGUUUUACCGGUAAUUUCCGGCAGUCACGUGACUUGUCCACACGUGACGGGUGGUAUCUUCAUCUGCAGUUCACAUGUGUGAUGUGUCCUCUUUUUUUUCCUUUGUCCUCCUUUUUGAAGCUGCUUGUCCUCCUUUUUAAACAACUGCAUCUGGUCACCCUAUGUACAGCUGUAAGCUGCAGUAGUUAUGCCAAGACGAAGAGUGUUGCCCAGGAUGGACUAGCGCAGAGAGCUGCGUCAAACCAGUAUUUGGGACUGAAGACCGCAACAACAGCAUGUAGCUGUGUGACGAGCGUCUAGCAAUCUUACAAUUGAGUCUGCACGCGGGAGAGCGGCCAGGCAGGUGACGUCAGAGAGGGAAUUAUCAGACCGACCAAUGGCCUCCAAGCGUCCGCAGCAGCCAAUAAGAGUGCGCUGAGCGGUUAGGCUCACUAGCCAGCCAGUGUGUCGAGGGAGCAGAGACCAGCGGACAUGGCGGGGCUACGGACUGUGCUGCUUCUCGCGCUGCUCUUCGUCGCUUCGUGCCACCUCUUCUCAGCAGCCGGCGCUGCUGCAGUGAGGAUGAAGCGCGGGACCUGUGACAACAGCAUCGACACCGUGAAUACGGUGGCAUGCAACACCUACUGCGUGGCCCAGCUCAACGGCUACUCUGGGGGCAAGUGCUUACUUGGCACCUGCAUCUGCCACAAGUAGACAUCUUCUCCCUCUGUGGGCUAACAAACAAGUGUCGCUAUCAUUAUGCCCACACAUUGUAAUGUUGCUUUUGUAACUGUACUUGUAGCCAUCAGUCCCAAGAGUGGGGUGAUGCUGUAGUGGCAGAUACACAGUGUAUAGUUUGCAAAUUAGUAUCAAAUAAAUAACAACAGAUACUUAGAACAAAA